UACGAAGGGGGCUAGCGUUGCUCGGAAUCACUGGGCGUAAAGGGUGCGUAGGCGGGUCUUUAAGUCAGGGGUGAAAUCCUGGAGCUCAACUCCAGAACUGCCUUUGAUACUGAAGAUCUUGAGUUCGGGAGAGGUGAGUGGAACUGCGAGUGUAGAGGUGAAAUUCGUAGAUAUUCGCAAGAACACCAGUGGCGAAGGCGGCUCACUGGCCCGUUACUGACGCUGAGGCACGAAAGCGUGGGGAGCAAACAGG
rnacentral:rRNA from 1 species